UGGCGGCACGCCUAAACAUGCAAGUCGAACGCAGUAGCAAUACUGAGUGGCAAACGGGUGAGUAUAAUGUGGGAAUCUGCCUUUUGGUUUGGAAUAACACGAGGAAACUUGUGCUAAUACCGGAUAAGCCUUCACAGGGAAAGUUUUAUACGCCAAAAGAUGAGCCCGCACUUGAUUAGCUAGUUGGUGAGGUAAUAGCUCACCAAGGCAACGAUCAAUAGCUGUUCUUAGAGGAAGACCAGCCACAUUGGGACUGAGACACGGCCCAGACUCCUACGGGAGGCAGCAGUGGGCAAUCUUGCAC
rnacentral:rRNA from 1 species